rnacentral:rRNA from 1 species
AGUGAACGCUGGCGGCAGGCCUAAUACAUGCAAGUCGAACGGCAGCACAGCAGAGCUUGCUCUGUGGGUGGCGAGUGGCGGACGGGUGAGGAAUACAUGGGAAUCUGCCCAGUCGUGGGGGAUAACGUAGGGAAACUUACGCUAAUACCGCAUGCGCCCUUCGGGGAAAGCCGGGGACCUUCGGGCCUGGCGCGAUUGGAUGAGCCCAUGUCGGAUUAGCUAGUUGGCGGGGUAAUGGCCCACCAAGGCGACGAUCCGUAGCUGGUCUGAGAGGAUGAUCAGCCACACUGGAACUGAGACACGGUCCAGACUCCUACGGGAGGCAGCAGUAGGGAAUAUUGGACAAUGGGCGCAAGCCUGAUCCAGCCAUGCCGCGUGAGUGAAGAAGGCCCUCGGGUUGUAAAGCUCUUUUGUCCGGAAAGAAAAGCGCCGGGUUAAUACCCUGGUGUCCUGACGGUACCGGAAGAUAAGCACCGGCUAACUUCGUGCCAGCA